rnacentral:rRNA from 1 species
UACGAAGGGGGCUAGCGUUGUUCGGAAUUACUGGGCGUAAAGAGCGCGCAGGCGGCCAAGUCAGUCGAAUGUGAAAGCCCCCGGCUCAACUGGGGAGGGUCAUUCGAUACUGCUGGGCUUGAGUCGACUAGAGGCAGAUGGAAUUCCGGGUGUAGCGGUGGAAUGCGUAGAGAUCCGGAAGAACACCGGAGGCGAAGGCGCCUGCCUGGACGACUAUUGACGCUGAGGCGCGAAAGCGUGGGGAGCAAACAGG